ACUGCUUUGUACUUUCAAGUUCCAAAUGUAAUUUCUGUUAUUAUCAGCUUAAUUUCUGGUAUGAAUCCCAAGCGGAUUCGUUACGAAAUUUGCAUAAGUUUUUGAAAAAUUAGGCAUUUGGUCGAGUGCUCGCACCACCAUUUGUCGCGGGUCGUCCUGAUAUUACACUACAUUCAGGAACGGCCUAUUCUUU
rnacentral:snRNA from 1 species